UUAGUAUAUGUUUAGAUUGCCCUUAGAAAUAGAUUUUGUCUAAAUUUGGUAUGUUAGCCUGAGUAAAUUCAGGUGGUGCUGAAGCCUUAAACCCGUUCGGGGUAAAGACAUAAUUUAGAUGAAAAGCUAUAUUAUACGUUUAGAGUUGUAAUUUGUUUUGUUUGUGUAAACGUCAUAUCCGUUGUUGCCUGGUUACUUCGUGACGUCAUCAUUGUGUGCCAUAUUGUCAUAUCCCAACCCAUAGCGAUAGUCUCAUUUAAUUAUUUCAUUUGUUUAUAUUAUUUUAAAUUAUUUAUUUUUUUAUUAAUUUAAUUAGAUCUGUAAUUUUUUUUCACUUAAUGAUAGAAAGUGCGGGUAGGAUUCUUUUACUGUGAAUCAGACUAAAAUAAUUUUAGUUUGAGCGGUUAAAAUCAAAUAUGAUUUUGCCAUGAGAAUAAUGCCGAAACUGGCUAUGUAGUCAAACACUAUCGUCUGGCUAAAUUUAGAUCUGCAAAUUGUUGUAUAUCGCUUUGGUACAAUUAAAUCAUCUAGACUCUAAUUUGAAAUAUUAUUAAUUGGAAGAUGAAUGAAGAUUACUGCCAGUGAAGAACACUUGUGACGUGUGACGUGCCCAUAAGAUGCCACAUUUUCUUUUAUGAUGAACUGUGUACUAAUGAAGAUGAUUUUGGAAUGUUAUGAACUGUUAUGAACAUUGACAUGAAUAUGAGGAACUGUCAAGAUGAAGAUGUCAAGAUGAAGAGAUCAAGAUUUUAUGUUUGUGGUCUUCCCCUUAAAUUGAAAAUGCCCUUGUAAGACUUGACAGUAGUGGAAAAAUAUUGACAUAUUUUUUUUUCAAGGGGGGGAGGAAUCUGUUAGACACCUUAUUUAUAUAGGUUAGUUAUUUUAGUUAUUUAGCGACGCACCAUAGUAGACGCAUAUUGAACGGGACUAGUGACGUUUGGGAUAUGUUGGGUUAGAGACCGGAAAAUCAGUUAGCGAUAGAACACUCCAGGGUAACGACGUGUUUAGUGACAGAGACUUCUACUGUGGCCUUUUUAUCAGAAUAAAUCUAUGUGAACUUGUU